rnacentral:tRNA from 1 species
GGAGGCUUCGCCUAGUCUGGUCUAUGGCGCCGCACUGCUAAUGCGGUUUGGGCUUUAAAGCCCAUCGAGGGUUCAAAUCCCUCAGCCUCCG